GAACGGGUGAGUACACGCGGGUGAUCUGCCCUGCACUUUGGGAUAAGCCUGGGAAACUGGGUCUAAUACCGAAUAGGACCACGCGCUUCAUGGUGUGUGGUGGAAAGCUUUUGCGGUGUGGGAUGGGCCCGCNNNNNAUCAGCUUGUUGGUGGGGUAAUGGCCUACCAAGGCGACGACGGGUAGCCGGCCUGAGAGGGUGACCGGCCACACUGGGACUGAGAUACGGCCCAGACUCCUACGGGAGGCAGCAGUGGGGAAUAUUGCACAAUGGGCGCAAGCCUGAUGCAGCGACGCCGCGUGAGGGAUGACGGCCUUCGGGUUGUAAACCUCUUUCAAUAGGGACGAAGCGCAAGUGACGGUACCUAUAGAAGAAGCACCGGCCAACUACGUGCCAGCAGCCGCGGUAAUACGUAGGGUGCGAGCGUUGUCCGGAAUUACUGGGCGUAAAGAGCUCGUAGGUGGUUUGUCGCGUUGUUCGUGAAAACUCACAGCUUAACUGUGGGCGUGCGGGCGAUACGGGCAGACUAGAGUACUGCAGGGGAGACUGGAAUUCCUGGUGUAGCGGUGGAAUGCGCAGAUAUCAGGAGGAACACCGGUGGCGAAGGCGGGUCUCUGGGCAGUAACUGACGCUGAGGAGCGAAAGCGUGGGGAGCGAACAGGAUUAGAUACCCUGGUAGUCCACGCCGUANACGGUGGGUACUAGGUGUGGGUUCCUUCCUUGGGAUCCGUGCCGUAGCUAACGCAUUAAGUACCCCGCC
rnacentral:rRNA from 1 species